rnacentral:rRNA from 1 species
UACGUAGGGUGCGAGCGUUAAUCGGAAUUACUGGGCGUAAAGCGUGCGCAGGCGGUUUUGUAAGCCAGGUGUGAAAUCCCCGGGCUCAACCUGGGAAUUGCAUUCGAGACUGCAUAGCUAGGGUGCGGAAGAGGGAAGCGGAAUUUCCGGUGUAGCGGUGAAAUGCGUAGAUAUCGGAAGGAACACCAGUGGCGAAAAGCGGCUUCCUGGUCCAGCACCGACGUUCAGGCACGAAAGCGUGGGGAGCAAACAGG